rnacentral:rRNA from 1 species
AGUGAACGCUGGCGGUAGGCCUAACACAUGCAAGUCGAACGGCAGCACAGUAAGAGCUUGCUCUUACGGGUGGCGAGUGGCGGACGGGUGAGGAAUACAUCGGAAUCUACUUUUUCGUGGGGGAUAACGUAGGGAAACUUACGCUAAUACCGCAUACGACCUACGGGUGAAAGCAGGGGAUCUUAGGACCUUGCGCGAUUGAAUGAGCCGAUGUCGGAUUAGCUAUUUGGCGGGGUAAAGGCCCACCAAGGCGACGAUCCGUAGCUGGUCUGAGAGGAUGAUCAGCCACACUGGAACUGAGACACGGUCCAGACUCCUACGGGAGGCAGCAGUGGGGAAUAUUGGACAAUGGGCGCAAGCCUGAUCCAGCCAUACCGCGUGGGUGAAGAAGGCCUUCGGGUUGUAAAGCCCUUUUGUUGGGAAAGAAAAGCAGCAGGUUAAUACCCCGCUGUUCUGACGGUACCCAAAGAAUAAGCACCGGCUAACUUCGUG